rnacentral:RNase_P_RNA from 1 species
AAGAAAAGUCUUAUAUAUAUAAAUUAAUAAUAUUUUAAAUAAAUAUUAUUAUAAUAAAAUAAUUAAUAUAAAUAAAUAAUAUGAAAUAUAUACUUUAAUAUCAUAUAUAAUUAAUAAUAAUAAUAAAUAUUAUUAUAAAGUUAUAUAACUAUAUAUAUAUAUUUAAUAUAUAUAUAUACAUAAAUAAGCUUAU